rnacentral:rRNA from 1 species
GAUGAACGCUAGCGGCAGGCUUAAUACAUGCAAGUCGAACGGUAAGUUUGGUAGCAAUAUCAAACCAAGAGUGACGUACGGGUGCGUAACACGUAUGCAACCUACCUUGUACAGGGGUAUAGCUCGGGGAAACUCGAAUUAACACCCCAUAAUAUGUUUGGUGUGGCAUCACACUAACAUUAAAACUCCGGUGGUACAAGAUGGGCAUGCGUCUGAUUAGUUAGUUGGCGGGGAAUGGCCCACCAAGACGAUGAUCAGUAGGGGACCUGAGAGGGUGAUCCCCCACACUGGCACUGAGAUACGGGCCAGACUCCUACGGGAGGCAGCAGUAGGGAAUAUUGGUCAAUGGAUGCAAGUUCUGAACCAGCCAUGCCGCGUGC